GCAUAUCAAUAAGCGGAGGAAAGAAACCAACAGGGAUUGCCCUAGUAACGGCGAGUGAAGCGGCAACAGCUCAAAUUUGAAAUCUGGCUUCGGCCCGAGUUGUAAUUUGCAGAGGAUGUUUCUGGCGCGGUGCCUUCCGAGUUCCCUGGAACGGGACGCCAUAGAGGGUGAGAGCCCCGUAUGGUUGGAUACUAAGCCUGUGUGAAACUCCUUCAACGAGUCGAGUAGUUUGGGAAUGCUGCUCAAAAUGGGAGGUAAAUCUCUUCUAAAGCUAAAUACCGGCCAGAGACCGAUAGCGCACAAGUAGAGUGAUCGAAAGAUGAAAAGCACCUUGAAAAGGGGGUUAAACAGUACGUGAAAUUGUUGAAAGGGAAGCGCUUAUGACCAGACUUGUGCCGGGCAGCUCAUCCGGGGUUCUCCCCGGUGCACUCUGCCCGGUUCAGGCCAGCAUCGGUUUUUGCUGGGGGAUAAGAACGGCAGGAACGUGGCCCUCCUUCGGGUGGGUGUUAUAACCUGCCGUACGAUACCCUGGCGGAGACCGAGGUUCGCGCUCCGCAAGGAUGCUGGCGUAAUGGUCAUCAGCGACCCGUCUUGAAACACGGACCAAGGAGUCGUCCAUUAGAGCGAGCGUUUGGGUGUAAAACCCGCACGCGUAAUGAAAGUGAAAUUAGGUGAGAGCUUCGGCGCAUCAUCGACCGAUCCUGAUGUUCUCGGAUGGAUUUGAGUAAGAGUUUUAACGGACGGACCCGAAAGACAGUGAACUAUGCUUGUAUAGGGUGAAGCCAGAGGAAACUCUGGUGGAGGCUCGCAGCGGUUCUGACGUGCAAAUCGAUCGUCAAAUAUGAGCAUGGGGGCGAAAGACUAAUCGAACUGUCUAGUAGCUGGUUACCGCCGAGUU
rnacentral:rRNA from 1 species